UUCUUGAAAAUUAAAAUUGUUGGCGGUAUUUUAGUCUAUUCAGAGGAACCUGUCCUAUAAUUGAUAGUCCACGAUUUUAAGUACUUAUUUUAUAUUAGUUUGUAUAUCGUCGUAGAUUGAAUAUUUUAGUAAAAUUUUGAAUAUUCAAGAUUUUUUUUAGAAAAGAAUUCAGAUCAAGAUAUAGCUUAUAGAUAAGAAGAGAUGGGUUACAAUAAAUUUAUUUAUAUGGAAGUUUUAUUUUGAAUAAAAUGGAAAGUGGAUUUGAAAGUAAUUAUAAAUAAAUAUUUAUAAUGAUUUUAGCUCUAAAAUAUGUACAUAUCGCCCGUCACUUCCAUUAUAAAAUGGAAUAAGUCGUAACAUAGUAGAUGUACUGGAAAGUGUAUCUAGAAGCAAAUUAAAGCUUUUAUAGCAUUUUAGUUACAUUAAAAAGAAUAUUUUAAUAAAUAUAAUUUGAAAUUAUUGAAUUAUUUAUAUUGUUUAAAUUUAUUGAUAGUUUAAAGAAAAAAAUUUUAUUUUUAUUAUUAUAAAGAAAAAAUUUAAAUUAUUAUAGAGUAAUAGUAUUGUGUAAGAAAUUUUGUAAUUUUGAAAAAGAAGAAUUAAAUUUUUGUACCUGGGUAUCAGGGUUUAUUAACUAAGUUUUAUAGAUUUAAUUUUCUCGAAUUUAAAAGAGUUAUAUUUUUAUAUUUUUUAUUGUGGAAUAAAUAUUACUCAUAAAAAUAUGGAAGUGAAACGUUAUUCGAUUUUAAAUAUAUCUAGUUUUUUAAGAUAAAAUUUAAUUUUAUUUUAAAUAACUAUCUCAUUACUUUUAUAAUUUGAUAGUUUUUAAAUUUUAUAUUUUUAGGGAUGAGCUUAAAAAUGUAUGGAUAUAAUAAGUAAUGGAAAUAAAUUUAAUAAAUAGGAUUAUAAGUUUUUAUUUUUUUAAGUGUUUUAUAACUAUUUGAAUUUUAAAUAAAAUUUUUAUUAGUAUUUAUAUUGUUUAUUAAAAUUUAGUUUGGAAUUUUAAUUAACUAGUAAUAAUGAUAAAAUUAGUAUAAUUUUAUUUAAACUUAAGUUUUAAAUUUUAGGUUUUUUAAAGGAACUCGGCAAAUAGAUUUUUCACCUGUUUAUUAAAAACAUGGCCUUUUGAUUAUAAUUUAAGGUCUAACCUGCCCAAUGAUUUAAUUAGUUAAAUGGCCGCGGUAUCCUAACCGUGCAAAGGUAGCAUAAUCAUUAGUUUCUUAAUUAGAAGCUGGAAUGAAGGGUUGGAUGAGAAAAUAACUGUCUCUGUUAAAAUUAUUUAGAAUUUUAUUUUUAAGUCAAAAAGCUUAAAUUUUUAUAAAAGACGAGAAGACCCUAUAGAGUUUUAUAAAUAUAAGAUUAAAUUUAUUUUAGUAUUUAG
rnacentral:rRNA from 1 species